CAGCCGCCGCGGUAAUACGAAGGGGGCUAGCGUUGCUCGGAAUCACUGGGCGUAAAGGGCGCGUAGGCGGACUCUUAAGUCGGGGGUGAAAGCCCAGGGCUCAACCCUGGAAUUGCCUUCGAUACUGGGAGUCUUGAGUUCGGAAGAGGUUGGUGGAACUGCGAGUGUAGAGGUGAAAUUCGUAGAUAUUCGCAAGAACACCAGUGGCGAAGGCGGCCAACUGGUCCGAUACUGACGCUGAGGUGCGAAAGCGUGGGGAGCAAACAGGAUUAGAUACCCCUGUAGUCCCUGUCUCUUAUAC
rnacentral:rRNA from 1 species